UACAGAGGUCCCAAGCGUUGUUCGGAUUCAUUGGGCGUAAAGGGUGCGUAGGUGGCGCGCUAAGUCAGGUGUGAAAUUUCGGAGCUUAACUCCGAAACUGCAUUUGAUACUGGCGUGCUUGAGGACUGGAGAGGAGACUGGAAUUUACGGUGUAGCGGUGAAAUGCGUAGAUAUCGGGAGGAACACCUGUGGCGAAAGCGGCUCACUGGACCACAACUGACGCUGAGGCGCGAAAGCUAGGAGAGCAAACAGG
rnacentral:rRNA from 1 species